UGUAUAUCAAUUUCAAACAAUAAUAGUUUGUGAUGUUAUAUAUAUAUAUAUGUACAUGAAAAUGAGAAUUUGAGCUGAUUUGCUGCUUUAUACACAGCUUACGUUUUUUGCUUGGUAAAAACUUGGACAGAGCGACUAGGAUAGUGGAUCAACAAGGUGUGAAGAGGAGGAUAUCUGGUGAACCCAGUGGGUGUUCUAUUUUUCAGAAAAACCAGUAGUUGUGAUCUUCUCAAAUCACUGUCACCUCCUUUUGUGUUGCGCGUUGUGAGAAUCUGAAUUUGCUGCCGCAACGAAUGCACACCCUCUUCCCAUUUCUUCAAGGAUUGUUGAUAUUGGACUUCCAGAAAUUGAAUCACUUCCAGACAGAGGUUUGCCAUCCAACCUACGUUACAUUGACAUCUAUAAUUGUGAGAAACUGAUAAAGGGCCGGAUGGAUUGGGGUUUGCAAACACUCCCAUCUCUUGAAGGAUUCAGUAUUGGAGGUACAUCCUUGACAAAAGAAGUGCUGGAGUCAUUUCUGGAAGAGUGGCUAUUGCCAACCACUCUUUCCUCUCUUGAGAUCAGACUCCUUUCAAAUCUGAAAAAACUCAACCACAAGGACCUUCAACACCUCACCUCUCUUGAAACUCCAGACAUUUCGUUCUACCCUAUGCUCCAGUCCCUGCCAGCAUAGGGGCUGCCCAACUCCCUCUCUUUCCUCUCUUUCCUGGAUAUAUAUGAACGUCCAUUGCUGAAACCACGUUGCCAAAGGGAGAAAGGGGAAGAUUGGAUCAACAUUUCCCAAAUCUGCCGCGUACAGAAUAAUGGUGAAGAGAUCAUAGACUUAGAGUGACAGACACUUAUGCAUGCUCGCAUUGGAUUCCUCUGGUUUCUGCUCCAUUCAGGCUGUGAAUGCCAGUGCUAUUAUGGUCCCGGCCAGAUGAUAAAUUCUCAACUUUCUCCACAUUGAUGGCUCCACAGAAACUCCUAUUUUGAGUCAGCUAAAAACCACUCUUAGGUCUCUGUUUGAUUCUCAAAAACAAUGAUGAAAGGCUAAGGAAAAUGGAAAAAGAAAGCAGAAGUUAAAAAAAAUAUUUCAUAGGUAGAUGAUUACUCGCGGACUAAUGUACCUAGCAUAUGGGCCAUUGGAGACGUUACAAAUCAAAUGAAUCUUACUCCUGUGGUCUUGAUGGAGGGAAAAUGCUUCUCAAAUGGAUCUACUAAGAAUAACAAACAGAAAAUACAAGAGUCAGAAACUUCUGCAUAUAAAAUCACAACUAAAACAACUUGCAGCAAAUCAACCUGAAUAGUGCUCUAACUCGGAUGGUGGUACAUGCUCUCGUGAUUUGUACUCCCAAGUAAUGGGAGUACAAAAAAUGGUCCGUGUUCGUAUAAAUGGCUUGGUCCUGCACUUAGUCAUUUGGGGGCCAUGUCCUACUCGGGUGACACAGUGAGGAAGAGGUGCGGGUUGUACUUGCAGCUUUUCAAUAGACAGUGUCUAAUAUGAAGGUGUAGUAUGAUGAAGAACUUGAGAGUCUAAAACAACAAAUGGCCAUGUUAUUGUGUCGUCAUAUGCAGACUCUGAAUUCUAGUGUAGCGGUUUUGAACUCUUCUGUCACUCAAGGAGACUCCCCACAUUUUGAUUCCACUCAUGACACUCCACCUUUGCUGACAUGCAGGGCAGUCCAAGCAGAAAGCAAGAGACCAAGGCAAGU